UGCGGUGUGGUGUAGUGGUUAGCGCUAUUGUUUUUGAAAAAAUGGUUAGGGGUUCGAUUCCAGUAGGGGUAU